CCUUCUCUUUGCCUUCAGAAAUCUCUCUCAUUCUUAAUCUAUCUCAAAUUAGGUUUUUCCAAAAUUUCAAUCAAACUGUAAAUGUUCGGCGGUUGGUGAUCUUCUAUUCCAUUCACGAUGCAAAUAAUUGAAUGCUGGAUUCUCAUCUCCCAAAAUCUAAUCACUGCAUCAUCAAUGAUAGUUUGAAGACGCAAUGUUGUUUCUGAAAUCACACCAGCAAAAGAGUCAUGGUAUGUUGUUGUUCGAGUUAUUCGAUUGUGGUUUGUGCCAGACAUGAAUUCGAAACAGAAAUUUUAUGCUAUAGAGAUGGUUCUAACGGAUGAGAAGGUUCAACAAGAAAUACUACAAUUAGAAUUGGGAAAAUAUGUCAUCAUAAUGAAGAAUGUUGAGAAUCCCAUCAUCAUUGGUCAGAAUUAUUGUCCCAACAACCAAGGUUAUCCUGGCCAUGAAAUCAUCAAUAAUCCAACUUAGCAUGAUUAAACUCUCUCAACUUUUUUUAUACACUUUUAUAACUCUUAGCUGGUUGAUGUUGGUGAUUCCCGCGUAGUUGCAUCUAGAGCUGGUUUAGCUGCUCCUUUAUCUAUCAAUCACAAACUUGAUAGAUCUUAUGAGUGUCAGAGGAUUGAACAAGUUGGAGGAUUUGUAUUAUGAGUAGGAACAUGGAGGGUCUACUCUUUCGAUUUAGGAAGACAUUGAAGGCGUGGAUUUUUUAAUAGUAGCUAUCGAUGAUCUUUGGAAUGUUAUAUCAAACAAUGUGAGAUUUUUCUUAUCUUGCCUCGAUAAAUUGAGAGUUACACCUAUAUGAAUUUUCCUGAAUAAUAAAGUAUAUUAAAAAUAAUGCAUAUCUAAGGCUUUGUUUACUUAUGCAGUCUCUCUACCUUUUUCAGGAUGCGGUGUUACAUAAUAUGACUGAUGCAAAAGUUGCAUCUAAAUCACUUAUUAAAGAAGCUCAUACUCCAGGAAGCUCAGACAACAUCACCUGUGUUGUUGUUCGAUUUGAUCCAUCCUGAUACUGCUGUAUAUAUUUGCUUUUGGUAUAUGUUAUUUCUAACAUCGGAGACCUCUUUGGUGUGAAAAGAAUACAACACAUUCAGCCCAAAUUUAAUCUGUUAGUAAUUUUCAUUUUCAUGUUGAUAUAUUCAGCCCAAAUUUCAUCAUCAGCCCUUUUAGAUCCUGUGGCUUUAUCCCAAACAAACUCAUCUUGAUAGAGAAUGUUCUUCACGAUAGCAUACCGCAUCCUCAACGCUAAAUGAAGUUUUUUUGGGUUGUUCCUUGUCCUAUUUAAACCAGUUAUUUGAAUAGGUGCAUAUUUCGCAGCACAGUGUGAGAAACAUGGUUUGUUAAUUUGUAUAGUUGGAGAUAUGUUCAUGAUAUAUCCACCACUUAUCAUCUCUCCUGAAGGAGUUGAUGAGGUGAUUUCACAAACAAACUUGCCAUAUGAUAUACUAAAAUACAGGCUUCAAAGUUAAUUUUAUUAUAAGUCAGAUUUUGUAUUCCUUUUCCCAUUUGAUCGGCAUUUACGGAAAAGCUUUACGAGACACGGACAAGAGAGUACAAGAGCUUAAGUCUCAACACAAGUAGAUGAUGAUGAAAUAAUAAACUCUAUUUCAUUCUUGAGAAAAUGAAUUAUUUAUUGUAAUAACUCUUAAUCUAUUUUGAUUAUUC